AACGAACGCUGGCGGCAGGCCUAACACAUGCAAGUCGAGCGCCCCGCAAGGGGAGCGGCGGACGGGUGAGUAACGCGUGGGAACGUACCCUUUGCUACGGAAUAGCCUCGGGAAACUGGGAGUAAUACCGUAUGUGUCCUUCGGGAGAAAGAUUUAUCGGCAAGGGAUCGGCCCGCGUUGGAUUAGGUAGUUGGUGGGGUAAUGGCCUACCAAGCCGACGAUCCAUAGCUGGUUUGAGAGGAUGAUCAGCCACACUGGGACUGAGACACGGCCCAGACUCCUACGGGAGGCAGCAGUGGGGAAUCUUAGACAAUGGGCGCAAGCCUGAUCUAGCCAUGCCGCGUGAGCGAUGAAGGCCUUAGGGUUGUAAAGCUCUUUCAGGGGGGAAGAUAAUGACUGUACCCCCAGAAGAAGCCCCGGCUAACUCCGUGCCAGCAGCCGCGGUAAUACGGAGGGGGCUAGCGUUGUUCGGAAUUACUGGGCGUAAAGCGCACGUAGGCGGACGGAGAAGUCAGAGGUGAAAUCCCAGGGCUCAACCUUGGAACUGCCUUUGAAACUUUCUGUCUUGAGGUCGAGAGAGGUGAGUGGAAUUCCGAGUGUAGAGGUGAAAUUCGUAGAUAUUCGGAGGAACACCAGUGGCGAAGGCGGCCCACUGGCUCGAUACUGACGCUGAGGUGCGAAAGCGUGGGGAGCAAACAGG
rnacentral:rRNA from 1 species